rnacentral:rRNA from 1 species
GGGUAGCCGGCCUGAGAGGGCGACCGGCCACACUGGGACUGAGACACGGCCCAGACUCCUACGGGAGGCAGCAGUGGGGAAUAUUGCACAAUGGGCGAAAGCCUGAUGCAGCGACGCCGCGUGAGGGAUGACGGCCUUCGGGUUGUAAACCUCUUUCAGCAGGGAAGAAGCGAAAGUGACGGUACCUGCAGAAGAAGCGCCGGCUAACUACGUGCCAGCAGCCGCGGUAAUACGUAGGGGCGCAAGCGUUGUCCGGAAUUAUUGGGCGUAAAGAGCUCGUAGGCGGCUUGUCACGUCGGUUGUGAAAGCCCGGGGCUUAACCCCGGGUCUGCAGUCGAUACGGGCAGGCUAGAGUUCGGUAGGGGAGAUCGGAAUUCCUGGUGUAGCGGUGAAAUGCGCAGAUAUCAGGAGGAACACCGGUGGCGAAGGCGGAUCUCUGGGCCGAUACUGACGCUGAGGAGCGAAAGCGUGGGGAGCGAACAGGAUUAGAUACCCUGGUAGUCCACGCCGUAAACGGUGGGCACUAGGUGUGGGCAACAUUCCACGUUGUCCGUGCCGCAGCUAACGCAUUAAGUGCCCCGCCUG